rnacentral:lncRNA from 1 species
GAGAUAUGGAAUAUUUGCGCCCCCAUCCAGGGUACAGAGGCUGUCAGAUUCCCUGGAUACGCUUUCAGAAAUAUCUUCAAAUAAACAGAAUCAUUCUUAUCCUGGUUUUAGGAGAAGUUUCAGCACAACCUCUGCUUCUUCUCAAAAAGAGAUUAACAGGAGAAAUGCUUUUGCCAAGACUAAGACCACCCUGCGCCGCAGCUGGAGCAGUUCCACCACGGCGGGUGGUCUCGAGGGGACCGUGAAGCUCCACGAGGGGUCUCAGGUCCUGCUCACGAGCUCUAACGAAAUGGCCACCGUUAGGUACGUGGGUCCCACGGACUUUGCCUCUGGUAUCUGGCUUGGACUGGAGCUCCGAAGUGCCAAGGGGAAAAAUGACGGCGCCGUGGGUGACAAGCGCUAUUUCACCUGUAAGCCGAACUACGGAGUGCUGGUUAGACCAAGCCGAGUGACCUACCGAGGGAUUAACGGGUCAAAGCUCAUUGAUGAGAGCUGUUGAGUUAACCACAGAAAGCAUUGAGCUCCUCUGAGUAUGUCUAUGUGCUAGAUGAAAAUAGGGACUAUGACAAAGGGCUUACUUAACAGAAAAUAGAGUAAUCUUCAUAAAAAUCUCCAAAGGAACCCAAGUAUGAACUUUGAGGGUCAUGGUUUUGAAAAUAAUUUCAGAAUAAGCACUUUCUAAAAGUUUAGGUCCCAAGAAAAUUUGAGGACUCAAAAAAAUAAAUAAAUAAAUAAAAAAAGAAAAGAAAAAAU